rnacentral:rRNA from 1 species
AUGGAGGAACUUCAGCUAUACAACAAAACAUACAGCAAGGUAUUGCACAUACAUUCCCUUGGCCUUGCUCUUGUGUUGCUGGUCUUCUGUUUGCCCUCUCCUACCAGUUCCUGCACAGAGCAGGAGAAGGACUCCCUUCUCCGGUUCCUUGCCGAGCUCUCCCAAGACAGCGGCCUCUCCGCGUCAUGGCGGAACGUCACAGAUUGCUGCAAGUGGGAAGGGAUCGCCUGCAGGCAAGACAGGACGGUCAUCGACGUCUUACUGCCUUCCAAGGGCCUUGAGGGGCACAUCUCACGGUCCCUUGGCGCCCUCACUGGGCUGCAGCACCUCUAUCUCUCUGACAACUCGCUGUCCGGCGGUCUGCCGCUGGAAUUACUGUCUUCCAGCAGCAUUGCCGUCAUUGAUGUCAGCUUUAACCAGCUCAGCGGAACCCUACAUGAGCUGCCAUCUUCAACACCCAUCAGGCCUCUGCAGGUACUAAACAUCUCAAGCAACUUAUUUGCAGGACAGUUUCCAUGCGCCACAUGGAAAGCAAUGGAGAAUCUGAUGGCACUCAAUUUUAGUGGCAGCAUCCCCCAAGGAGUCGGUGAUUGCUCCAAGCUGCGAGUGCUCAGAACCGGGGAUAACUACCUCAGUGGGACGCUCCCGGAUGAACUCUUCAAUGCAAUCUCGUUGGAAUACCUAUCUUUCGCAAACAAUGAUUUACAUGGAGUUCUUGAUACUGCAAACACAGUCAACCUCAGAAAUCUCACAACCCUUGAUCUUGGAGGGAACAGAUUCAGCAGAAAGAUUCCAGAUUAUAUAGGUCAACUCAAGAGACUGGAGGAGUUCCAUUUGAACAACAACAACAUGUCAGGGGAGCUGCCAUCUGCUCUCAGCAACUGCACAAAUUUGAUGACAAUUGACCUUAAAAGCAACGGACUUAGUGGAGAACUUACCAAUGUCAAUUUCUCCAACCUGCCGAAUCUAAAAAAAUUAGAUCUUUGGUCCAGCAAAUUCACCGGUACAGUUCCAGAAAGUAUGUACUCAUGCAGCAAUCUGACAGCGCUGCGGCUGUCUAGAAACAACUUACAUGGGCAGCUCUCAUCAAGAAUAGGUAAUCUGAAGCAUCUGUCCUUCUUGUCACUUUCUAAUAACAAGUUCACAAACAUAACAAAUGCACUUCAUAUCCUUCAGAGCAGCAAGAAUCUGACUGCACUGUUUAUUGGGCACAACUUUUGGGGAGAGAUCCUCUCACAGGAUGAAACAAUUGAUGGUUUCAAAAAUCUUCAGGUUCUCAGUAUGCAAGGUUGUGAAUUGUCCGGGAGAAUACCUGUAUGGAUAUCAAGGGCUGCAAACUUGCAGAUGUUAAUUUUAUCUGACAAUCAUCUCACUGGACCAAUACCAGGCUGGAUCACCUCUCUAUAA